CACUUUCAGCAACGGAUCUCUUGGCUCUCGCAUCGAUGAAGAACGCAGCGAAAUGCGAUAAGUAAUGUGAAUUGCAGAAUUCAGUGAAUCAUCGAAUCUUUGAACGCACCUUGCGCUCCUUGGUAUUCCGAGGAGCAUGCCUGUUUGAGUG
rnacentral:rRNA from 1 species